GUGGGGAAUAUUGGACAAUGGGCGAAAGCCUGAUCCAGCCAUGCCGCGUGUGUGAAGAAGGUCUUCGGAUUGUAAAGCACUUUAAGUUGGGAGGAAGGGCAGUAAGUUAAUACCUUGCUGUUUUGACGUUACCGACAGAAUAAGCACCGGCUAACUUCGUGCCAGCAGCCGCGGUAAUACGAAGGGUGCAAGCGUUAAUCGGAAUUACUGGGCGUAAAGCGCGCGUAGGUGGUUUUGUAAGUUGGAGGUGAAAUCCACGGGCUCAACCUGGGAACUGCCUACAAAACUGCAUGACUAGAGUACGGUAGAGGGUAGUGGAAUUUCCUGUGUAGCGGUGAAAUGCGUAGAUAUAGGAAGGAACACCAGUGGCGAAGGCGACUACCUGGACUGAUACUGACACUGAGGUGCGAAAGCGUGGGGAGCAAACAGGAUUAGAUACCCCAGUAGUCC
rnacentral:rRNA from 1 species